rnacentral:rRNA from 1 species
UACGUAGGGGGCUAGCGUUGUCCGGAUUUAUUGGGCGUAAAGAGCGUGUAGGCGGCCAGGUAGGUCUGCUGUGAAAACUCGAGGCUCAACCUCGAGACGCCGGUGGAAACCGUGUGGCUAGAGUCCGGAAAGAGGAGAGUGGAAUUCCCGGUGUAGCGGUGAAAUGCGCAGAUAUCGGGAAGAACACCCGUGGCGAAGGCGGCUCUCUGGGACGGUACUGACGCUGAGACGCGAAAGCGUGGGGAGCGAACAGG